rnacentral:rRNA from 1 species
CAGCCGCCGCGGUAAUACCGAGGAUGCAAGCGUUAUCCGGAAUGAUUGGGUGUAAAGCGUCUGUAGGUGGCUUUUCAAGUCCGCCAUCAAAUCCCCGGGCUCAACCCUGGACAGGCAGUGGAAACUACCAAGCUGGAGUACGGUAGGGGCAGAGGGAAUUUCCGGUGGAGAGGUGAAAUGCGUUGAGAUUGGAAAGAACACCAACGGUGAAAGCGCUCUGCUGGGCCGACACUGACACUGAGAGACGAAAGCUAGGGGAGCAAAUGGGAUUAGAUACCCCAGUAGUCCCUGUCUCUUAUAC